rnacentral:misc_RNA from 1 species
UUACCAGGUAUUGGAUUUUGUCAAUUUAUAUGUUAUCAUACCAUACUGCAGAUGAAUAGUAACAUAUUGUGCUGCAACUUCAAUUAUCAUAUAGCGCUAACAUGUUUGAUCUGUAGCAUGUGCACACGACGUCUCUCCUCCACAACAUAGAGAAAUAGGCGCUUCAAGUCAGCAUUACCAGGGAAAGCAUAACGGGAAGCAGGCCUUCAGUUUGAGACAAGACGGUACACACGUUGAUACAACAGCAUAGCCAAGGUGCAGGCCAUAUCACAGGCGCCCGGGGGCCUUCUACAGAAAGUGUCUGUAAAGCGCAGAGUCGGAUCACGCCCGGGGAACACACCUGCUCCUAGAUUGUUUAGUGUCCCCUGUCGUGACCUGGUGACAGACAAACAGACAGCCAGACAGCCAGGCAGGCAGGCAGGUAGGCAGGCAGACAAGCAGGCAGACAAACAGACUAAUACCGGCGCCGUCAGUUUAACAAUUGUAUUCGGAAAAUGCAUAAUUAUGUAAGUGUGAAGCAUCACAUGAUACUACCACCAUUUCACACAAAUCUCGUGCACCGAGCUGAGUGUUGGUGUUCAGUGCUUUCAAAACCAGCGUGGUCACGUGGUAGCUUUCAGACGAGGGCUUAUGUUUUAAGCCUUCCAGAUCUACUUAUAGACAAAGUGAUUUACAAAGGGCGGUAAAUGAAAGGCCGAAUCGGAACAAAACCAGAACGCCAGAUUGAAGUCCUUAAUUGAUAGGUAAAGCUGGAUUAUGUUUGCUUAACCUGAACCUACAGACUGUAUACAGAGCUACUGCACUAACAUGUUGCGUUGCCAACCUUCAUUAGCCAUGGCUGCAGCAACAAUGGCGGGUAUCAAACAGUGUUGGCAUGUUUUGUUUGUUUCAAGACUUCAAAACAAACGAGUAUUCUGCUUGACUGAGGCUUGUGGCUUCUAGAGCGUCUUGUGGAUAGGUGAACUGCCUAGAUGAACAGACAGUACCGGCCACUAACUGCACACACAGAAUCAAAUAAUAAUAGCAUACGUUGUAUUCAAGUUCACUCUUGGGAACAAAUGUACGUUGUUGGUAAAUCUAAA